rnacentral:rRNA from 1 species
AGUGAACGCUGGCGGUAGGCCUAACACAUGCAAGUCGAACGGCAGCACCGUAAGAGCUUGCUCUUACGGGUGGCGAGUGGCGGACGGGUGAGGAAUACAUCGGAAUCUACUUUUCCGCGGGGGAUAACGUAGGGAAACUUACGCUAAUACCGCAUACGACCUACGGGUGAAAGCAGGGGAUCUGCUGACCUUGCGCGAUGGGAUGAGCCGAUGUCGGAUUAGCUAGUUGGCGGGGUAAAGGCCCACCAAGGCGACGAUCCGUAGCUGGUGUGAGAGGAUGAUCAGCCACACUGGGACUGGGACACGGCCCAGAGUCUUACGGAAGGGAGCAGUGGGGAAUAUUGGACAAUGGGCGGAAGCAGGAUCCAGCCAGGCCGCGUGAGUGCUGAAGGCAUUAGGGUUGGAAAGCUCUUUUAUCCGGGACGAUAAUGACGGUACCGGAGGAAUAAGCCCCGGCUAACUUCGU